GUAUAUAAAGACAUGAGGUCUUAGAAUGAGAUUUCGCCCAUUAUACAAUGGUGUAAAAUUAUGUUGUACGUAAUUUAGGAUGACCUGUGUUUCUUCCAUAUAUAUUUAUCUAAAUCCAAGAGCUUAGAAUAGAAAUAAUAAUAACCAAAGAGUUAAAGUGUUAAAAUAGUAAGCCUGAGGGCUAAACUACAAAGUCCAAUAGGAUCGGUAAUUUGGAUGUAAAAUACUGUAAGCAGAGGUCUGAUACAUAAAUACAUGGACUUUCGCGGAAUUAGCAUAAAGUUAGAUUACUAAAUCACUAAAUAGCGCAAUGGAUA
rnacentral:lncRNA from 1 species